rnacentral:rRNA from 1 species
UACGAAGGGGGCUAGCGUUGUUCGGAUUUACUGGGCGUAAAGCGCACGUAGGCGGAUCGUUAAGUCAGGGGUGAAAUCCUGGAGCUCAACUCCAGAACUGCCUUUGAUACUGGCGAUCUUGAGUCCGGAAGAGGUGAGUGGAACUCCUAGUGUAGAGGUGGAAUUCGUAGAUAUUAGGAGGAACACCAAUGGCGAAGGCAGCACUCUGGGACGUGACUGACGCUGAGACGCGAAAGCGUGGGGAGCAAACAGG